GUCUGUGAUGUCAACAUGAGAUUUUUGAACAUUUUUGUGGGAUUUCCUGGAUCAUCUCACGACUCCUUCAUCCUAAGCCAGUCAUCGCUGUUUGACAAGUUCGAAACAGGAAACAUGCCUGGUGGCUGGCUGUUAGGUGAUGCGGGUUAUCCAAACAAAUCGUGGCUCUUGACCCCAUUGUCUAAUCCUGUUGGUAGAGCAGAAAAACGUUACCAAGAGACACACAUUGCAUCGAGGCAAAUAAUUGAACGUGCCUUCGGUGUACUUAAAAGCCGGUUUCGAUGUUUAGACACUUCCGGCGGUGCUCUUUUGUACUCACCGGCGAAGGUUUGCGGCAUGGUAAAUGCAUGUUGUAUUUUACACAACAUAUGUGUCGCAAACCGUUUGCCGGUGACUCUUCGUCGCAGUGCUUUCCGACGCGGGAACCGUUCUUCUGCUGUACCGGUGGGUAUGGAUGAAGGAGAUGAUUCCCGGCGGACAGUGAUACAAAACUUUUUUUCGGUUGCCUAGUUUUACGUCCUGUUGAUGUGCAUUCCCAGGCCUGUUUUGUCAUGUUGACGAAUCGUUACCCCCUGUUUUCUCCUGUUGA